rnacentral:lncRNA from 1 species
CACCAGGCUACUAUAUGUAGACAGAGAGAGAGAGAGAUGAACAGUGGCACCAGGCUACUAUAUGUAGACAGCAAGAGGGAGAGAGAGAGAGAGAUGAACAGCGGCACCAGGCUACUAUAUGUAGACAGCAAGAGAGAGAGAUGAACAGCGGCACCAGGCUACUAUAUGUAGACAGCAAGAGGGAGAGAGAGAGAGAUGAACAGCGGCACCAGGCUACUAUAUGUAGACAGAGAGAGAGAGAGAGAGAGAUGAACAGUGGCACCAGGCUACUAUAUGUAGACAGAGAGAGAGAGAGAGAGAGAGAGAUGAACAGCGGCACCAGGCUACUAUAUGUAGACAGAGAGAGAGAGAGAGAGAUGAACAGUGGCACCAGGCUACUAUAUGUAGACAGCAAGAGAGAGAGAGAUGAACAGUGGCACCAGGCUACUAUAUGUAGACAGAGAGAGAGAGAGAGAGAGAGAGAGAUGAACAGUGGCACCAGGCUACUAUAUGUAGACAGACAGAGAGAGAGAGAGAGAGAGAGAGAGAGAGAGAGAGAGAGAGAGAGAGAGAGAGAGAGAGAGAGAGAGAGAGAGAGAGAGAGAGAUGAACAGCGGCACCAGGCUACUAUAUGUAGACAGAGAGAGAGAGAGAGAGAGAGAUGAACAGUGGCACCAGGCUACUAUAUGUAGACAGCAAGAGAGAGAGAUGAACAGUGGCACCAGGCUACUAUAUGUAGACAGAGAGAGAGAGAGAGAGAGAGAGAGAGAGAGAGAGAUGAACAGUGGCACCAGGCUACUAUAUGUAGACAGCAAGAGAGAGAGAUGAACAGUGCCACCAGGCUACUAUAUGUAGACAGCGAGAGAUGAACAGUGGUACCAGGCUACUAAAUGAUGCAUACCAGAUCUUUAUAUACCGUUUAUUCAUGGAGCAACAGAGUGGUGCUAGACUAGCUAGCAGUGUUCAGAUGAGACGCUAGCCGUAUUUAUAAUACAUGACUAACUCAUUUCCCAUGCCCACCAAGCCCAGCCAGACUUCCAGAGCAUUCCAACAACAUGGCCUGGCCAGUGUGUGUGUUGCAGGCGGUGCAACGUCACACACUGUUAAGUGUCCAGCUAUCCCAUAGACUCUGGAGCCUCCUCAUUACACACUAGAGCAGUAUGGUGUAUAUGCAUAGCAGAAGGCCGUCUGAACACACGUGUUCAUGAGUGUGUGUGUGUGUACUGUAUUAUACAUGUCAUGUCUGCCACCAGAGUGAUACAUUACAGUAAAGGAACAACUCUGAAUUAUAGAGAGUCAGUAAUAUAGGGAGUUAUCUCCACCAAUUAAGUAUUUAUAACCUUCAUCUCAGUGUGUGUGUGUACAGGGUGCCCUUCGAACCACAGUCCACCCUCCAUAUUAACUCCAGUGGCCUGGCGGGAGAAAAUACCCGACGGACUGUUUAAAAACAACCAACAUCUUAGAGUGCUUCCACAACACACACCAGAGUGAUAUCCCUGGUCCACAACACACACCAGAGUGAUAUCCCUGCUACGUAUCCCUGGUCCACAACACACACCAGAGUGAUAUCCCUGGUCCACAACACACACCAGAGUGAUAUCUCUGGUCCACAACACACACCAGAGUGAUAUCCCUGGUCCACAACACACACCAGAGUGAUAUCCCUGGUCCACAACACACACCAGAGUGAUAUCCCUGGUCCACAACACACACCAGAGUGAUAUCCCUGGU